rnacentral:rRNA from 1 species
ACGAACGCUGGCGGCGUGCCUAAUACAUGCCAGUUGAGCGCUGAAGAUUGGUGCUUGCCCCAAUUUGAAGAGCAGCGAACGGGUGAGUAACGCGUGGGGAAUCUGCCCUUGAGCGGGGGACAACAUUUGGAAACGAAUGCUAAUACCGCAUAACAACUUUAAACAUAAGUUUUAAGUUUGAAAGAUGCAAUUGCAUCACUCAAAGAUGAUCCCGCGUUGUAUUAGCUAGUUGGUGAGGUAAAGGCUCACCAAGGCGAUGAUACAUAGCCGACCUGAGAGGGUGAUCGGCCACAUUGGGACUGAGACACCGCCCAAACUCCUACGGGAGGCAGCAGUAGGGAAUCUUCGGCAAUGGACGAAAGUCUGACCGAGCAACGCCGCGUGAGUGAAGAAGGUUUUCGGAUCGUAAAACUCUGUUGGUAGAGAAGAACGUUGGUGAGAGUGGAAAGCUCAUCAAGUGACGGUAACUACCCAGAAAGGGACGGCUAACUACGUG